GGAGAGAUGGCUGAGCUGGUCUAAGGCACUCGACUCGAAAUCGAACGUGGCAGAAAUGUCACCGUGGGUUCGAAUCCCACUCUCUCCG
rnacentral:tRNA from 1 species